rnacentral:rRNA from 1 species
ACGGAAGGCAGCAGUGGGGAAUAUUGCACAAUGGGCGAAAGCCUGAUGCAGCGACGCCGCGUGAGCGAAGAAGUAUUUCGGUAUGUAAAGCUCUAUCAGCAGGGAAGAUAAUGACGGUACCUGACUAAGAAGCACCGGCUAAAUACGUGCCAGCAGCCGCGGUAAUACGUAUGGUGCAAGCGUUAUCCGGAUUUACUGGGUGUAAAGGGGGCGUAGGCGGUUUUACAAGUCUGAUGUGAAAGCCCGGGGCUCAACUCCGGUAUUGCAUUGGAAACUGUAGAACUAGAGUGUCGGAGGGGUAAGUGGAAUUCCUAGUGUAGCGGUGAAAUGCGUAGAUAUUAGGAGGAACACCAGUGGCGAAGGCGGCUUACUGGACGAUUACUGACGCUGAGGCUCGAAAGCGUGGGGAGCAAACAGGAUUAGAUACCCUGGUA